GGGUCAGUAGGUUGGUCGUGCCACCGGUACGUACUGGUCUCACUGAUUCCUCCUUCCUGAAGAACCGUAAUGCCAUUAAUUUGGUGUUGCGGGGAAACAGGACUGUCACUUUGAAAAAAUUAGAGUGUUUAAAGCAAGCUAACGCUUGAAUACAUUAGCAUGGAAUAAUGAAAUAGGACGAUCGAUCCUAUUUUGUUGGUCUCUAGGAUUGACGUA
rnacentral:rRNA from 1 species